rnacentral:lncRNA from 1 species
CCUGGACCCAAAGGUUAUCACCAACUUUUACAACACAUUCUACUGUCAUGGAACUUAAAAAUUUAUAUCUGGAAAAUGGCAAAGUUACCAGUAGCAGGCCUGUCCUGCAAACUUAACUCCCUGUGGAGAAUGAACAAAAAGAGCUGAAAACAGAAUUGCAGAAUGGUAAGUUGUGUCAGGCAGAAUUUAAAAGGCAGCAAAUUCAC